ACGUCUCUUGCCUCGCUCGGUCUGCCCCUUUGCCUUCCUAUGGACUGAUCUUGAGCUGGAUGCAAAAUCUUUUUCCCCCUUUGCAAGGGAUCUAGAGUUUUUCGCAUGAGACAAUAUUGAUUCUAUGUUUCCGACGACAACUUGAGUACAAUCCCAUCAAAUACUCCCUCGUUUGGAGCAUGGUGGUGUUCUUUAUUGUAAUUAUGUACGUCGAACAUUU
rnacentral:snoRNA from 1 species